UUUACCUGUGGAAGUACUGUGUGCUUUACCUGUGGAAGUACUGUGUGCUUUACCUGUGGAAGUACUGUGUGCUUUACCUGUGGAAGUACUGUGUGCUUUACCUGUGGAAGUACUGUGUGCUUUACCAUUCAAAGGGGCUCCAGAAAACAGCAUGCAUGCGUAAAGAUUAUGGAUAUGUGCAAAACCUCAAAGCUGAGCCUAGAAUCAAAUUCUUUUCAGCGAUCCAGCUGCAUGUGUCUGGCCAGAAGUUUCCCCCAGAACAUGUAGAGAAGGUUGGGCUGGGUAAGGUAUACACAGGGAAGGAAUGUUGGCCCCAGAGGAGGGUGCUAUAAUCUAGUGCAAUACCUUGGGUGUUGUAGAAUGCUGUCUUUCAGGCCAUGACAUGGCUGUUGUCCAAUUGUACUCUCAGAAGCUAUGAGAACAUGAGGGCCACACUAGAUUGGGCCCAUUAACAUCAAUAACAGAGGGAGGAGGGCUUCACAAGGCUCUGUCCUUCCCCACGGAUAAUAAAUACACAGACUGGUUUUGGGGAGAGAGAGAGAGAGACUUUUCUUUAGAAGUGUAGCUGCCUAUAAUUUGAUAGUGUUCCUAUAGAUAAACCAUCACUUGUGAUCCCAACUGAUCUCAUUGGUUCAUUAGACUUGGCUAAAAUUGUUUCUUCAGUCUAUGGUUUGUUUCCUAUCUGAGAUGAAUAAACAUUUGUUCAUUCUUCUCAGAAAAGGGCCCACACAACAUAGGAAACUGCAUCCUGCUUAGGGCUGACCUUAACAGCUAUAGAUCAGAUCAGGACAGUGAUAGGUCUUCAGGGGUGUUUUCCAGGAAAACUGUGAUUCUCAACAUUCAGAUUCUCCUGUCCCAUAAUCUGCAGGGCUCUUUGAGGGGUGGUUAAGACAGGGUUAUAUUAUGUAGUCUUGGUUGUCCUGUAACUCUCUAUGUAGACUAGGCUGGCUUCAAACUCAGAGAUCUGCCUGCUUCUGCCUCUUAAGUGCUGGGAUUAAAGGCAUGUGACACUACACCUGGCCUUAUAAGAUUCUUUUUUUUUUUUAUUUGUUUCAUGUAUGUGGGUACACAGUCGCUGUCUUCAGACACACCAGAAGAAAGCAUCAGAUGCCCAUUACAGAUGGUUGUGAGCCACCAUGUGGUUUCUGGGAUUUGAACUCAGAAUCUUUGGAAGAGCAGUCAGUGCUCUC
rnacentral:lncRNA from 1 species